rnacentral:rRNA from 1 species
AUGUCUUUGCCGGUAUUUUUUUUUAGAAUUGGCGGCAAAAUUUCAAUGAUAGAGGCGGUGUCGUACAAAAUACAAGCUCCAUGGCUCUAUCCCUGUCUGGGUGUGGCUGUCGUGGCCGACACGACUUACACCAGGGAGCCUGUGGUCUUUGCUCCCACAUAUCGACGGUCCCAUUCUCGUGGAAUGUCACCCGCUGCUUCAAAUUAUCUUGACGAUGGUGGCGACGAUAAUAUUGUUAAGCAUGCUCUUGUCAUUGGGUAUGUUAAUUUGUUCUUUUGUGCUCUCGAUCUUCAUCCUCGACGAUAUGACGAUGAAGUAGCAGUUUGA